UACAGAGGUCUCAAGCGUUGUUCGGAAUUACUGGGCGUAAAGGGUGCGCAGGCCGCGCGGGCAGUCAAAUGUGUAAUCCAGGGGCUCAACCCCUGAACUGCGCUUGAUACUUCCGCGCUCGAGCUUUGGAGAGGAGUCUGGAAUUCUCGGUGUAGCAGUGAAAUGCGUGGAUAUCGAGAAGAACACUUAGGGCGUAGGCAAGACUCUGGACAAAUGCUGACGCUCAUGCACGAAGGCUAGGGUAGCGAACGGG
rnacentral:rRNA from 3 species